GACGAACGCUUGCGACGUGCCUAAGAAAUGCAAGUCGAACGGGGGAGGCAAUCCCUACGUGGCGAACGGUCGCGUAACACGUGGGCAACCUGCCCUGAAGUGGGGGACGAACAUGCCGAAAGGUAGUGCUAAUACCGCAUGUGGAUUGUGAUGGCAUCAUCAAGGAUCCAAAGCCGCAAGGCGCUUCAGGAUGGGCCCGCGGCCUAUCAGCUAGUUGGUGGGGUAACGGCCUACCAAGGCUUCGACGGGUAGCUGGUCUGAGAGGACGAUCAGCCGGAUUGGGACUGAGAUACGGCCCAGACUCCUACGGGGGGCANCAAUUAGGAAUCUUGCACAAUGGGCGAAANCCUGAUGCAGCGACGUCGCGUGGAGGAUGAAAUCUUUCGGGAU
rnacentral:rRNA from 1 species